GUUUGAUUCUUCUUUGAUUUUUCAUUGCUGCGUCAAAUAUGACGAGGCAAGUUUGUGACAAGUUUGCUGCAAUAUUGUUAUGACAAAGAUGAUUAUUCAAGUUUGUAUCAACUUUGCUUCAAGCUUAGCUUUCCAAAGCCCGCUUCGAUUCGGUUUUCGUUCGGCGCCCCGACUGAUGUCCCGCCUACGACAACGAAAGUGUUGCCACCCGGAGGGAAAUUUCUGUGUUUGCGAGAAUUUUCAACAUACAAUUGAAAAAGUUAUCUCAAAAGGGAAUUUUUGCUCCAGUCCAAAUUGCACAAUAUUUAAAAAAUCAAAAUAUUUGAAACAUAUUUUCGCAGAUUUUGUAAAUAGGAGCGAAUUUUUUCAUAAAAGUGAGAAUUUUUAAGGUAAGUUGAGGGAAAAAGCUUACUUGAUGGCUGGCAACACGGGAAAAAUAAUCUGCUACGCGUACGCGGCUACGCGGUGAUAGUUUGUUGUUGUGGUUAUGUUGAUAUUUUUCUUCAAGUUUUUUACAACUUAAUUUUUCCGUACAAUUCUCUGAGACUAUUACCUUAAUUAUUAUUACUAAGCUGAAGCCUAUUUUCUUCAUUGUUAAUAGACCAAACUGCAUGCUUACUGCAUUACAGAUUAUAGUACCUACUCAUUUUGCUCUGGUCAACUCUGGUGGCAUUGAGAGAGAGCUGAUAGACAAAUCCAAGCAUCGGAAUCUGAAACUAGAGUGCUUAAUGUAAGUUUCAAUGAAUAAUUUUAUACAAUAGAUUGUAUUUUAGUCGAGUGAUUAAUAAAUAGUUAUAUAAAAA
rnacentral:lncRNA from 1 species